AGAGUUUGAUCCUGGCUCAGGAUGAAUGCUGGCGGCGUGCCUGAGAUAUGCAAGUCGAGCGCCCUUGACGCAAGUCGAGGAGCGGCGGACGGCUGAGUAACACGUAGGAAUCUUCCCCUAGGUAGAGGAUAGCCCCGCGAAAGUGGGGGUAAUACUCUAUUGUGUCCGCCUAUGGCGGACUAAAGGGCUUAACUGCUCGCCAAGGGAUGAGCCUGCGGCCUAUCAGGUAGUUGGUAGGGUAACGGCCUACCAAGCCUAUGACGGGUAGCUGGACUAAGAGGUUGGUCAGCCAGAGGGGUACUGAGACACGGACCCCACUCCUACGGGAGGCAGCAAUCAGGAAUAGUCGGCAAUGGACGAAAGUCUGACCGCGCGACGCCGCGUGUAGGAAGAAGCUCUAACGAGUGUAAACUACUGUGGUAGAGGAAGAAGACCCGCCUUUGGCGGGUUUGACGGUACUCUACUAGAAAGGAGCCGCUAACUGCGUGCCAGAAGCGUCGGUAAUACGUGGGCUUCAAGCAUUAUCCGGUCUUAUUGGGCGUAAAGGGUCGUGUAGGUGGCUUGAUAAGUUAUCUUUUAAAUCUUACCGCUUAACGGUGAGAUUGGAGAUAAAACUAUCAAACUAGAAUUUCCUUUAGGGGGACUAGAACUUAGGGAGGAGUAGUGAAAUGCGUUGAUACCCUAGGGAAUACCAGUGGCGAAGGCGAGUCCCUGGAAGGUAAUUGACACUGAGACACGAAAGCUAGGGGAGCGAAGCAGAUUAGAGACCUGCGUAGUCCUAGCCCUAAACGAAUGUCUGCUAGCUGCAUUCUUUCCCGCCUUUGGCGGGAUUGAGUGUGGCGAAGGUAACCCGUUAAGCAGAUCGCCUGGGGAGUACGGCCGCAAGGUUGAAACUCAAAGGAAUUGGCGGGGAGGCACACAACCAGUGGAACAUGUGGUUUAAUUCGAGACGAACCGAAACACCUCACCAAGAAUUGACAUACUAGCGUUCUAUUUUGUAGAAAUACGAGAAAUGCGCAAGCAGGCUAGCACAGGUGUUGCAUGGCUGUCGUCAGCUCGUUCCGUGAGGAGUGCCCUUAAGUGGGACAACGA
rnacentral:rRNA from 1 species